CCCUUUAGAGUGCCUUACAGCACCAGAGACUAGGAUCGACCGUGAUCUCAGGAGCAGUUUGUACGGAAUUUGUACAUUCUCCCCGUGACCACAUGGGUUUUCUCCGGGUGUUCCAUUUUCCUCCCACACUCCAAAGACGUACAGGUUUAUAGGGUUGUAUAGGAAUCGAGUUUUCCCUCUUCACACUCUGUUAUAUUUUCAUUUCCAAACGUAAUCUCUCCUCAGUUAUAAAUUUCUGGCCCAGGCAAUGUUUUUGUCGAUCCGCACCCUCUCUGUUGCGGUCACAUCACUCCCAGUUCAGGACCGAGUUGUAUGUAGUUUGCGGGCGUUAUUAACACCAUGGAAUAUUUAAUCAGCAGUAUGAUGAUCGGCAUCUGUCAGCAACUCUGAACAAAGCAAACCUCAGCAGGGAUCAGAUGUACCACACCUGUGGUGGGUGUCCCCUUACUGCCAAUUUCACCCCCACCAUAUCACUUGAACCAAUACAGUGGAUGAGUUGCUGACUGUGGGAUUAGCUGUAUCAGCGCAGAUGGAAUGAAUCUUAAAUGUUUGAAAGAAGCCAAGAGAGAGAUUAGAGAGGAAUUGUUCGAAUCAUCAACACUCACCGAUGGGGCUCUUUCUGCUGCGCACGGCCUUCUGGAUUGGUGCGGCCAAUCCGGAAUCUGGCCCAGAGCUGCAGCAGUGGGUGCCGCGCGGACUUUCCAUCGCAGAGUCUGGGAUCCCUCGCUGGGGAUUGCCGGAGAAGAGCACCUACUGCUGGCCUGCGGCCUAUAACAUCGUGAAGCCGCGGUCUCCGAUAGAAAGUGGCCGAUUCGGGAUCUCCAAGCCGCGGAGUGUCUGUCCGUCCCGACGUUGGAGUUUCGAA